rnacentral:rRNA from 1 species
UACGGAGGAUCCAAGCGUUAUCCGGAUUUAUUGGGUUUAAAGGGUGCGUAGGCGGGACGACAAGUCAGUGGUGAAAGUUUGCAGCUCAACUGUAAAAUUGCCGUUGAAACUGUCGUUCUUGAGUGUAAAUGAGGUAGGCGGAAUGUGUUAUGUAGCGGUGAAAUGCUUAGAUAUGACACAGAACACCAAUUGCGAAGGCAGCUUACUAAGAUACAACUGACGCUGAGGCACGAAAGCGUGGGGAUCGAACAGG